AACGAACGCUGGCGGCAUGCCUAACACAUGCAAGUCGAACGAGACCUUCGGGUCUAGUGGCGCACGGGUGCGUAACGCGUGGGAACCUGCCCUUAGGUUCGGAAUAACUCCCCGAAAGGGGUGCUAAUACCGGAUAAUGUCUUCGGACCAAAGAUUUAUCGCCUUUGGAUGGGCCCGCGUUGGAUUAGCUAGUUGGUAGGGUAAAAGCCUACCAAGGCGACGAUCCAUAGCUGGUCUGAGAGGAUGAUCAGCCACACUGGGACUGAGACACGGCCCAGACUCCUACGGGAGGCAGCAGUGGGGAAUAUUGGACAAUGGGCGAAAGCCUGAUCCAGCAAGGCCGCGGGAGUGAUGAAGGCCUUAGGGUGGUAAAGCUCUUUUACCCGGGAUGAUAAUGACAGUACCGGGAGAAUAAGCUCCGGCGAACUCCGU
rnacentral:rRNA from 1 species